rnacentral:lncRNA from 1 species
GUCCUCAUACUGUGCCUUCACCUCUGCGAUGAUGCUGUUGAGGUCCAGGCUGCGGUUGUUGUCCAUGGACAGCACCACGGAGGUGUCAGACACUUGCUGCUGCAUCUGAGACAAUUCCGCUUCAUAGAGAGCCCUCAGGAAGUUGAUCUCAUCUGCCAGCCCGUCUGCUUUGGCCUGCAGCUCCACUUUGUUCAUGUAAGCACCGUCCACAUCCUUCUUGAGCACCACGAACUCGUUCUCUGCGCCCGUGCGCCGGUUGAUCUCAUCCUCAUACUUGUUCUUGAAGUCCUCCACCAUGUCCUGCAUGCUCCGCAGCUCCGAGUCCAGCCG